rnacentral:lncRNA from 1 species
CUGACAUGCCUCAGGAACCCGGGAUUCGUCGGACCAGACAAUGUUUUUCCACUCCUCAAUUGUCCAGUGUUGGUGAUCACGUGCCCACUGGAGCCGCUUCUUGUUUUUAGCUGAUAAGAGUGGAACCUGGUGUUGUCAUCUGCUGCAAUAGCCCAUCCAUGAUGAGUUGUGCAUUCCCAGAUGCUGUUCUGCACACCACUGUUGUACUUCGCCGUUAUAUGCCGGUUUGUGGCCCGCCUAUUAGCUUGCACAAUUCUUGCCAUUCUCCUUUGACCUCUGUCAUCUACAAGCUGUUUUCGCCCACAGGAUUGCCGCUGACUGGAUGUUUUUGUUUGUCGCACCAUUCUCGGGUAAACCCUAGGCACUGUCGUGCGUGAAAACCCAAAGAGGCCAGAUGUUGUUGAGAUACGGCGCGCCUGGCACCGACGAUCAUACCACGCGCAGUCGCUUAGGACGAAGCAAGGGGACAAGAUGAGAGGGAAAGUUCCGCUAACAAGGGCAACUACUAGGAGCUUUCAGAGCUAAAUGCCCUCCUGUUCCCUGAUUAAGAGUGGAUGACUACUCCACUACCAGUGUCAACUCUUUACUGAACUGAAGCCAUGUCUCAUGUGCCCUCUCAUCCACUGGCUCACUGAAUAUUUCCUCUCCAAGCACUUCAAAUCUUGUCCUCAUUGGAAGAGUUGAGCUCUUCUGCAACACCAUCCAUCCAUGAUAAGCUUGUCCUGCACUGGAAGAGUUGAGCUCUUCUGCAACACCAUCCAU